UACGUAGGGUGCAGGCGUUGUCCGGAAUUAUUGGGCGUAAAGAGCUCGUAGGCGGUCUGUCGCGUCGGCUGUGAAAACCCGGGGCUCAACCCCGGGCCUGCAGUCGAUACGGGCAGACUAGAGUGCGGUAGGGGAGACUGGAAUUCCUGGUGUAGCGGUGAAAUGCGCAGAUAUCAGGAGGAACACCGGUGGCGAAGGCGGGUCUCUGGGCCGUAACUGACGCUGAGGAGCGAAAGCGUGGGGAGCGAACAGG
rnacentral:rRNA from 1 species